rnacentral:rRNA from 1 species
UACGUAGGUGGCAAGCGUUGUCCGGAAUUAUUGGGCGUAAAGCGCGCGCAGGCGGCCUCUUAAGUCUGAUGUGAAAUCUUGCGGCUCAACCGCAAGCGGCCAUUGGAAACUGGGGGACUUGAGUGCAGAAGAGGAAAGCGGAAUUCCACGUGUAGCGGUGAAAUGCGUAGAGAUGUGGAGGAACACCAGUGGCGAAGGCGGCUUUCUGGUCUGUAACUGACGCUGAGGCGCGAAAGCGUGGGGAGCAAACAGG